GACGAACCGUGCGACCGUUGUUCGGAAUCACUGGGCAUAAAGGGCGCGUAGGCGGCUUAUCAAGUCAGGGGUGAAAUCCGGCAGCUCAACUGUCGAAGUGCCCUUGAUACUGAUGAGCUCGAGGGAGGUAGGGGUGUGCGGAACUUCCGGUGGAGCGGUGAAAUGCGUUGAUAUCGGAAGGAACGCCGGUGGCGAAAGCGGCGCACUGGACCUCUUCUGACGCUGAGGCGCGAAAGCCAGGGGAGCAAACGGG
rnacentral:rRNA from 1 species